GAACGCUGGCGGCAUGCCUUACACAUGCAAGUCGAACGGCAGCGCGGGGCAACCUGGCGGCGAGUGGCGAACGGGUGAGUAAUAUAUCGGAACGUGCCCAGUCGUGGGGGGAUAACGGUAGCGAAAGCUACGCUAAUACCGCAUACGAUCUAUGGAUGAAAGCGGGGGAUCGCAAGACCUCGCGCGAUUGGAGCGGCCGAUAUCAGAUUAGGUAGUUGGUGAGGUAAAGGCUCACCAAGCCGACGAUCUGUAGCUGGUCUGAGAGGACGACCAGCCACACUGGGACUGAGACACGGACCAGACUCCUACGGGAGGCAGCAGUGAGGAAUAUUGGUCAAUGGGCGCAAGCCUGAACCAGCCAAGCCGCGUGCAGGAAGACGGUCCUAUGGAUUGUAAACUGCUUUUAUACAGGAAGAAACCCUCCCACGUGUGGGAGCUUGACGGUACUGUAGGAAUAAGGAUCGGCUAACUCCGUG
rnacentral:rRNA from 1 species